rnacentral:rRNA from 1 species
UACAGAGGUCCCGAGCGUUGUUCGGAUUCACUGGGCGUAAAGGGUGCGUAGGUGGUGAGGUAAGUCGGAUGUGAAAUCUCCAGGCUCAACCUGGAAACUGCAUUGGAAACUACCUUGCUGGAGGAUUUGAGGGGGGAUUGGAAUACUUGGUGUAGCAGUGAAAUGCGUAGAUAUCAAGUGGAACACCAGUGGCGAAGGCGAAUCCCUGGAAAAUACCUGACACUGAGGCACGAAAGCUAGGGGAGCAAACGGGG